rnacentral:rRNA from 1 species
AGAGUUUGAUCCUGGCUCAGAACGAACGCUGGCGGCGCGUCUUAAGCAUGCAAGUCGAGCGGCAAGCAUCAGCAAUGGUGCCUAGAGCGGCGGACUGGUGAGUAACGCGUGGGUGACCUACCCUUGGGUUGGGGAUAGCCAUUAGAAAUAGUGGGUAAUACCGAAUGAGGUUACCGGGCCAUAGUCUGGUAAAGAAAGGAGCCCUGGCUCCGCCCGGGGAUGGGCCCGCGUCCCAUUAGCUAGUUGGGGGGGUAAGAGCCGACCAAGGCGAUGAUGGGUAGCCGGCCUGAGAGGGUGAACGGCCACACUGGGACUGAGAUACGGCCCAGACUCCUACGGGAGGCAGCAGCUAAGAAUAUUCCGCAAUGGACGGAAGUCUGACGGAGCGACGCCGCGUGGAUGACGAAGGCCGAAAGGUUGUAAAAUCCUUUUGCGGAUGAAGAAUAAGCCUGGGAGGGAAUGCCUGGGUGAUGACGCUAGUCCGUGAAUAAGCCCCGGCUAAUUACGUGCCAGCAGCCGCGGUAACACGUAAGGGGCGAGCGUUGUUCGGAAUUAUUGGGCGUAAAGGGCGCGUAGGCGGUUAUGUAAGUCUGGCGUGAAAUCCCCGGGCUCAACCCGGGAAUGGCGUUGGAAACUGGAUGACUGGGGUCAUGGAGGGGUAGUUGGAAUUCCUGGUGUAGGGGUGAAAUCUGUAGAUAUCAGGAAGAACACCGGUGGCGAAGGCGAACUACUAGCCAAUGACUGACGCUGAGGCGCGAAAGUGCGGGGAGCAAACAGGAUUAGAUACCCUGGUAGUCCGCACUAUAAACGAUGCAC